rnacentral:rRNA from 1 species
GGAAACCGGAGCUAAUACCGGAUAAUAUAUUGAACCGCAUGUUCAAUAGUGAAGACGGUUUUGCUGCCACUUAUAGAUGGAUCCGCGCCGCAUUAGCUAGUUGGUAAGGUAACGGCUUACCAAGGCAACGAUGCGUAGCCGACCUGAGAGGGUGAUCGGCCACACUGGAACUGAGACACGGUCCAG